rnacentral:rRNA from 1 species
GCCCUAAACGAUGUCUACUAGUUGUCGGGUCUUAAUUGACUUGGUAACGCAGCUAACGCGUGAAGUAGACCGCCUGGGGAGUACGGUCGCAAGAUUAAAACUCAAAGGAAUUGACGGGGACCCGCACAAGCGGUGGAUGAUGUGGAUUAAUUCGAUGCAACGCGAAAAACCUUACCUACCCUUGACAUGGUCGGAAUCCCGCUGAGAGGUGGGAGUGCUCGAAAGAGAACCGGCGCACAGGUGCUGCAUGGCUGUCGUCAGCUCGUGUCGUGAGAUGUUGGGUUAAGUCCCGCAACGAGCGCAACCCUUGUCCUUAGUUGCUACGCAAGAGCACUCUAAGGAGACUGCCGGUGACAAACCGGAGGAAGGUGGGGAUGACGUCAAGUCCUCAUGGCCCUUAUGGGUAGGGCUUCACACGUCAUACAAUGGUCGGAACAGAGGGUUGCCAACCCGCGAGGGGGAGCUAAUCCCAGAAAACCGAUCGUAGUCCGGAUUGCACUCUGCAACUCGAGUGCAUGAAGCUGGAAUCGC